rnacentral:rRNA from 1 species
UACAGAGGGUGCGAACGUUGCUCGGAUUUACUGGGCGUAAAGCGCGUGUAGGCGGAUUGGCAAGUCGGGUGUGAAAUCCCUGGGCUCAACCCAGGAACUGCAUUCGAAACUGCCUGUCUUGAGUGAUGGAGAGGGAAGCGGAAUUCUUGGUGUAGAGGUGAAAUUCGUAGAUAUCAAGAGGAACACCAGUGGCGAAGGCGGCUCACUGGCUCGAUACUGACGCUGAGGUGCGAAAGUGUGGGGAGCAAACAGG